rnacentral:lncRNA from 1 species
ACAGCAUUUACCACUGAUGUUCCGCUGCCUCAGAUCUUUGCUUUUACUCUCCUAUUACUUUAUUUGGAUCUCUGCUUAAUUACUGCCUUCUUAAAAAGUUCUUGGCUGAUAACACUACUUAAAAUACUUUCUUACCUACAAUUACCUCUAAAUCAUCACUCUGUUUUAUUUUUAGUAAAUUGCACUUCCAACUACCAGAAUUUAUGCUGCAUAUCUCUUUAUGUACAUGUUUAUUAUCUGUCUCUCUCACUAGAAUAUGUCCACCAACGGAUUGGGAUCUUACCUGUGUCUCUGAUCAUUUUGUUAGGAUUUUACCUGUGUCUCUGAUCAUUUUAUCUCCAGCAACAUUGUUUGUGAGAUUAAUGUUGGGUAAUAGAUGAGAAAAAUGGAUGGAUGGAUUAUAUGCAAGGAAACUGAGUUUAUGCCGCUAACCUAGUAUCACACUGAUGGAGUCUUGCUCUGUUUCGCCCAGACUGCAAGGCAGUGGCGCGAUCUCGGUUCACUGCAACCUCCACCUCCCAGGUUCAAGCGAUUCUCCUGCCUCAGCCUCCCGAGUAGCUGGGACUACAGGCGUGUGCCACUGUGCCUGGCUAAUUUUUUGUAUUUUUAGUAGAGACAGGGUUUCACCAUGUUAGCCAGGAUGGUCUCGAUCUCCUGAAUUCGUGAUCUGCCCUCCUUGGCCUCCCAAAG